CCCUUCGGGGACAAAGUGACAGGUGGUGCAUGGUUGUCGUCAGCUCGUGUCGUGAGAUGUUGGGUUAAGUCCCGCAACGAGCGCAACCCUUAUUGUUAGUUGCCAUCAUUCAGUUGGGCACUCUAGCGAGACUGCCGCAGACAAUGCGGAGGAAGGUGGGGAUGACGUCAAAUCAUCAUGCCCCUUAUGACCUGGGCUACACACGUGCUACAAUGGAGAGUACAACGAGUCGCAAAGCCGCGAGGCUAAGCCAAUCUCUUAAAGCUCUUCUCAGUUCGGAUUGUAGGCUGCAACUCGCCUACAUGAAGCCGGAAUCGCUAGUAAUCGCGGAUCAGCACGCCGCGGUGAAUACGUUCCCGGGUCUUGUACACACCGCCCGUCACACCACGAGAGUUUGUAACACCCAAAGCCGGUGCGGUAACCGCAAGGAGCCAGCCGUCUAAGGUGGGAUAGAUGAUUGGGGUGAAGUCGUAACAAGGUAGCCGUAUCGGAAGGUGCGGCUGGAUCACCUCCUU
rnacentral:rRNA from 1 species